rnacentral:rRNA from 1 species
UACGGAGGGUGCAAGCGUUAUCCGGAUUCACUGGGUUUAAAGGGUGCGUAGGUGGGUCGGUAAGUCAGUGGUGAAAUCUCCGAGCUUAACUUGGAAAGGUCAACUGAUACUGCAGGGCUAGAGUGCAGAAGGGGCAACUGGAAUUCUCGGUGUAGCGGUGAAAUGCGUAGAUAUCGAGAGGAACACCUGCGGCGAAGGCGGGUUGCUGGGCUGACACUGACGCUGAAGCGCGAAAGCCAGGGGAGCGAACGGG